ensembl:snoRNA
CCCUUCUAUGAAGGCAUGUCUUUUGUUCCCAUAUCUUUGGACACAUAAGAAUUUGAGGCAAGAAAAUUGAGAAUUUGGAGAUAUCUGGGGCCAGCUUGUUCCCUGCAGACUUAAGAUGAGCUGUCCCACAUAA